rnacentral:rRNA from 1 species
AGUGAACGCUGGCGGUAGGCCUAACACAUGCAAGUCGAACGGCAACACAAUAAGAGUUUGCUCUUACGGGUGGCGAGUGGCGGAUGGGUGACGAAUACAUCGGCAUCUACUUAUUCGUGGGGGAUAACGUAGGGCAACUUAUGCUAAUACCGCAUACAACCUACCGGUGAAAGCAGGAGAUCUUCGGACCUUGCGCGACUGAAUUAGCCGAUGUCGGAUUAGCUAGUUGGCUGGGUAAAGGCACACCAAGGCGACGAUCCGUAGCUGAUCUGAGAGGAUGAUCGGCCACACUGGAACUGAGACACGGUCCAGACUCCUACGGGAGGCAGCAGUAGGGAAUAUUGGGCAAUGGGCGAAAGCCUGACCGAGCCAUACCGCGUGAGUGAAGAAGGCCUUCGGGUUGUAAAGCCCUUUUGUUGGGGAAGAAAAGCAGCAGAUUAAUACCCCGAUGUUCUGACGGUACCCAAAGAAUAAGCACCGGCUAACUACGUG